GUUAUAUGGUCAAGUGAAGAAGCGCAUACGGUGGAUGCCUUGGCAGUCAGAGGCGAUGAAAGACGUGGUAGCCUGCGAAAAGCUUCGGGGAGUCGGCAAACAGACUGUGAUCCGGAGAUGUCUGAAUGGGGGAACCCAGCCAUCAUAAGAUGGUUAUCUUGUACUGAAUACAUAGGUGCAAGAGGCGAACCAGGGGAACUGAAACAUCUAAGUACCCUGAGGAAAAGAAAUCAACCGAGAUUCCCUUAGUAGUGGCGAGCGAACGGGGACCAGCCCUUAAGUUGUAUUGAGAUUAGCGGAACACUCUGGAAAGGGUGGCCAUAGUGGGUGAUAGCCCUGUACGCGAAAAUCCCUUUGCAAUGAAAUCGAGUAGGACGGGGCACGAGAAACCUUGUCUGAAUAUGGGGGGACCAUCCUCCAAGGCUAAAUACUACUGACUGACCGAUAGUGAACCAGUACCGUGAGGGAAAGGCGAAAAGAACCGCGGAGAGCGGAGUGAAAUAGAUCCUGAAACCGUAUGCGUACAAGCAGUGGGAGCCCACUUUGUUGGGUGACUGCGUACCUUUUGUAUAAUGGGUCAGCGACUUAUUUUCAGUGGCGAGCUUAACCGAAUAGGGGAGGCGUAGCGAAAGCGAGUCUUAAUAGGGCGUCUAGUCGCUGGGAAUAGACCCGAAACCGGGCGAUCUAUCCAUGGGCAGGUUGAAGGUUGGGUAACACUAACUGGAGGACCGAACCGACUACCGUUGAAAAGUUAGCGGAUGACCUGUGGAUCGGAGUGAAAGGCUAAUCAAGCUCGGAGAUAGCUGGUUCUCCUCGAAAGCUAUUUAGGUAGCGCCUCAUGUAUCACUGUAGGGGGUAGAGCACUGUUUCGGCUAGGGGGUCAUCCCGACUUACCAAACCGAUGCAAACUCCGAAUACCUACAAGUGCCGAGCAUGGGAGACACACGGCGGGUGCUAACGUCCGUCGUGAAAAGGGAAACAACCCAGACCGUCAGCUAAGGUCCCAAAGUCAUGGAGCACUCUGCAAACACGAAAGUGGACGUAUAGGGUGUGACGCCUGCCCGGUGCCGGAAGGUUAAUUGAUGGGGUUAGCGCAAGCGAAGCUCUUGAUCGAAGCCCCGGUAAACGGCGGCCGUAACUAUAACGGUCCUAAGGUAGCGAAAUUCCUUGUCGGGUAAGUUCCGACCUGCACGAAUGGCGUAACGAUGGCGGCGCUGUCUCCACCCGAGACUCAGUGAAAUUGAAAUCGCUGUGAAGAUGCAGUGUAUCCGCGGCUAGACGGAAAGACCCCGUGAACCUUUACUAUAGCUUUGCACUGGACUUUGAAUUUGCUUGUGUAGGAUAGGUGGGAGGCUUUGAAGCGUGGACGCCAGUCUGCGUGGAGCCAACCUUGAAAUACCACCCUGGCAACUUUGAGGUUCUAACUCAGGUCCGUUAUCCGGAUCGAGGACAGUGUAUGGUGGGUAGUUUGACUGGGGCGGUCUCCUCCUAAAGAGUAACGGAGGAGUACGAAGGUGCGCUCAGACCGGUCGGAAAUCGGUCGUAGAGUAUAAAGGCAAAAGCGCGCUUGACUGCGAGACAGACACGUCGAGCAGGUACGAAAGUAGGUCUUAGUGAUCCGGUGGUUCUGUAUGGAAGGGCCAUCGCUCAACGGAUAAAAGGUACUCCGGGGAUAACAGGCUGAUACCGCCCAAGAGUUCAUAUCGACGGCGGUGUUUGGCACCUCGAUGUCGGCUCAUCACAUCCUGGGGCUGAAGCCGGUCCCAAGGGUAUGGCUGUUCGCCAUUUAAAGUGGUACGCGAGCUGGGUUUAGAACGUCGUGAGACAGUUCGGUCCCUAUCUGCCGUGGACGUUUGAGAUUUGAGAGGGGCUGCUCCUAGUACGAGAGGACCGGAGUGGACGAACCUCUGGUGUUCCGGUUGUCACGCCAGUGGCAUUGCCGGGUAGCUAUGUUCGGAAAAGAUAACCGCUGAAAGCAUCUAAGCGGGAAACUUGCCUCAAGAUGAGAUCUCACUGGAACCUUGAGUUCCCUGAAGGGCCGUCGAAGACUACGACGUUGAUAGGUUGGGUGUGUAAGCGCUGUGAGGCGUUGAGCUAACCAAUACUAAUUGCCCGUGAGGCUUGACCAUAUAACACCCAAGCAAUU
rnacentral:rRNA from 1 species